UGCCAGCCGCCGCGGUAAGACGGAGGGCGCAAGCGUUGUUCGGAAUUACUGGGCGUAAAGCGCACGCAGGCGGUUUCUUAAGUCUUCUGUGAAAGCCCGGGGCUCAACUCCGGAACUGCAGAGGAUACUGGGAAACUGGAGACAGGUAGAGGCUAGCGGAAUUCCUGGUGUAGCGGUGGAAUGCGUAGAUAUCAGGAAGAACACCUGUGGCGAAGGCGGCUAGCUGGGCCUGUUCUGACGCUCAUGUGCGAAAGCGUGGGGAGCAAACAGGAUUAGAUA
rnacentral:rRNA from 1 species